rnacentral:rRNA from 1 species
UGCGAAAGCAGGUCAUAGUGAUCCGGUGGUUCUGAAUGGAAGGGCCAUCGCUCAACGGAUAAAAGGUACUCCGGGGAUAACAGGCUGAUACCGCCCAAGAGUUCAUAUCGACGGCGGUGUUUGGCACCUCGAUGUCGGCUCAUCACAUCCUGGGGCUGAAGUAGGUCCCAAGGGUAUGGCUGUUCGCCAUUUAAAGUGGUACGCGAGCUGGGUUUAGAACGUCGUGAGACAGUUCGGUCCCUAUCUGCCGUGGGCGCUGGAGAACUGAGGGGGGCUGCUCCUAGUACGAGAGGACCGGAGUGGACGCAUCACUGGUGUUCGGGUUGUCAUGCCAAUGGCACUGCCCGGUAGCUAAAUGCGGAAGAGAUAAGUGCUGAAAGCAUCUAAGCACGAAACUUGCCCCGAGAUGAGUUCUCCCUGAGACUUAGAGUCUCCUGAAGGAACGUUGAAGACGACGACGUUGAUAGGC